rnacentral:lncRNA from 1 species
GAACAACAACUUCAGAAGACCAAGACCCAGAGGGGAUCGAUCAGAAUCAACCUCAAAAGGUAAAACUAACAAAGAUAUUACUUGCUAUGAAUGUAAAGAAACAGGUCACUACAGGAAUGAAUGCCCCAAGCUAAAGAAAGACAAUUCUAGAAAAGAAAGUUUCAAGAAAAAUACCUUCAGGACAAAGAAAGGAUUAAUGGCUACCUGGGAUGAUAGUGAAUCUGAG